AAAAGGUGCAGCGUCUAAUUGGUCGUCGCGAGACAACUACGCCACCAAAUCGAACCUACACCGCAUCGUCUAGAGUCAAGACUCCAGGUCUCCUUUCGAUGCAUAAUGGAUACCUCACUUGAGGCCGACCGAGUACAAGAGGAUCGUUCGCGCAUUCCUUGUGAAGAAAGUUUUGAAACUCCAAAAGGCUAUCCCAAGGCUUGAGCGUUUUAUGUUUUGCUCGUUCUUUGUUUUUGGCCUUGAAUAAAUAUAUUAUUACUGUACUGUUCUGUGUCUUAUUACGAUUAUAAACAUUUUUUUUGACGAAAAUUAUAAACAUUUUUAUCCGGUGAAAAUGUUGA